UGCCCCCAGGUGGUCAUUUGUGUUACUACAACAACUCAGGAUUAGCAACGUAAACACAACAACCAAAGAACAGAAUAACACACCACAGGAGGCUGCUCCAGGCUGAUGGUGGCGCGGCUGGUUUCAGUGAUGGAGGAGUUGGUGUGGUAGUUGAAGUGGUUGUUGGUGAUCGGCGUUUCUCCCCAAGCAGACUUCCACUGAGCCCACUUCCUCUGCAGUGCCGUUUGGGCCUGCAGUUCAACAUCACAGUGUCAGGGGGAGGAGGAUGUACUGGACUCCCAGCAGAGGGAUGAGGAUGAGGGUGGCUCUCACUGCCUUCAUGUAGGCUGUGGACUCAGCGCAGUGCGUCUCCUUCAGCUUGGUGAUCAGAAC